GAUGAAUCUUCUAUAUUCCACAAAUAUUACGAUAUUAUAAAAUCUCUAGCUUUGAAUUAGCCUCUUACCUGUUCGAUGAUAAGUUGAGAAUCUAAGAAGACUUUAAGCCUUUUGAUUCUAAAUUUUUUUAUCAUCUAAAUUUCGACGUCAAUACUUCAUACUCAGCACCAUUUUUUGAGAUAUUGAAGUUGAAUCUUAAGGCAUGUUCGGUUAUAAGACUUUUUGGACUAACUAGAAUUAAAUCAGCUCUACUUCGUUUUGAAUUUGUGGCUCUAUCAACAUGUAACACCCAAUAAAAAUCUUUAACAAUCUCCUUUGGAUUUUAUGAGAUUGGCUCUUCAUCAGAAAUGGUACACUCUAUGAUAAAAUUAGUUAAUACUUAAGCCUUUAACGA
rnacentral:lncRNA from 1 species